GACGAACGCUGGCGGCGUGCUUAACACAUGCAAGUCGAGCGGUAAGGCCCUUUCGGGGGUACACGAGCGGCGAACGGGUGAGUAACACGUGGGUGACCUGCCCUCAGCUCUGGGAUAAGCCUGGGAAACCGAGUCUAAUACUGGAUAUGACUCCAUGACGCAUGUUGUGGGGUGGAAAGCCUUGUGCGGCUAGAGAUGGGCCCGCGGCCUAUCAGCUUGNGGUGGGGUGAUGGCCUACCAAGGCGACGACGGGUAGCCGGCCUGAGAGGGCGACCGGCCACACUGGGACUGAGACACGGCCCAGACUCCUACGGGAGGCAGCAGUGGGGAAUCUUGCGCAAUGGGCGAAAGCCUGACGCAGCGACGCCGCGUGAGGGAUGACGG
rnacentral:rRNA from 1 species